CCGAAGCCACUGAGCAGGGAGGCAGAGUUAUACCCAACCCUAGACGUCAAUACUCGUUUGGCAAGGUGCGUCCUUUGGACUGUUUGUUUCCUUAUUUGUAUGGAUCUGGGAAAUCUAAGCUUUUAUGAAGGAAACGGAAAUAUACAAAAACCCGCUGAAAAUAGAACCAGACUGAUACUGCGGCAGCCAUGUUCUCCAUGGAGGCAAUAAUCACAACGUUAUUCCCAUCCAGACAAGGGACGUCGGUGCAGGCGCUGUGAAGCGCACUGACCCCGCAGCCCGCGGGCAGCAAAGUGCGCCUGUGCUGCAGGCGGAGGGGCGGCUGUGCUGCGGGCGCU
ensembl:lncRNA